rnacentral:rRNA from 1 species
UACGGUUAAGUUAGAAAGGGCGCACGGUGAAUGCCUUGGCACUAGGAGCCGAUGAAGGACGGUACUAACACCGAUAUGCUUCGGGGAGCUGUAAGUAAGCUUUGAUCCGGAGAUUUCCGAAUGGGGAAACCCCCUAUCCGUAAUGGGAUAGGAUCCUUAUCUGAAUACAUAGGGUAUGGAAGGCAGACCCGGGGAACUGAAACAUCUAAGUACCCGGAGGAAGAGAAAGCAAACGCGAUUCCCUGAGUAGCGGCGAGCGAAACGGGAUUAGCCCAAACCAGGAGGCUUGCCUCCUGGGGUUGUAGGACACUCUA